rnacentral:rRNA from 1 species
UACGUAGGGGCUAGCGUUGUCCGGAAUCAUUGGGCGUAAAGAGCGUGUAGGCGGUCCGGUAAGUCCACUGUGAAAGUCGGGGGCUCAACCCUCGAAUGCCGGUGGAUACUGUCGGGCUAGAGUACGGAAGAGGCGAGUGGAAUUCCUGGUGUAGCGGUGAAAUGCGCAGAUAUCAGGAGGAACACCAAUUGCGAAGGCAGCUCGCUGGGACGUUACUGACGCUGAGACGCGAAAGCGUGGGGAGCAAACAGG